CCUACGGGUGGCUGCAGUGAGGAAUAUUGGUCAAUGGGCGAGAGCCUGAACCAGCCAAGUCGCGUGAAGGAUGAAGGAUCUAUGGUUUGUAAACUUCUUUUAUAUGGGAAUAAAGUGAGGAACGUGUUCCUUUUUGUAUGUACCAUAUGAAUAAGCAUCGGCUAACUCCGUGCCAGCAGCCGCGGUAAUACGGAGGAUGCGAGCGUUAUCCGGAUUUAUUGGGUUUAAAGGGUGCGCAGGCGGUCUGUUAAGUCAGCGGUCAAAGCCCGGGGCUCAACCCCGGCCCGCCGUUGAAACUGGCAGUCUCGAGUUGGAGAGAAGUAUGCGGAAUGCGCGGUGUAGCGGUGAAAUGCAUAGAUAUCGCGCAGAACUCCGAUUGCGAAGGCAGCAUGCCGGCUCCACACUGACGCUGAGGCACGAAAGCGUGGGUAUCGAACAGGAUUAGAUACCCUUGUAGUC
rnacentral:rRNA from 1 species